rnacentral:lncRNA from 1 species
UUGUGCUGAAAAACAUUUCGAGUGUUUAAAAUGAGCGCAUUUGCAUGGCUCAGACCCAGUUGUGUUUCUUGGUGCUUGGUGUUCAGUAAACUGUAGGAAAGCUCACCUCCGCUGGCUUCCUGUGAUGUCACAAUGAAGGACUACUUGCUACCAAGGAACUGGGGGCAGCUUUAUAUUAACUGCCAGCAAGGGUUCUCCAAAUGAGAAGCAAGCGGUCAGUUCUUCCAACAGCAAGAACAGAGUUUGAAAUCGGACCCACCUCUUCCCCAGAACCUUGUUGAAAACAGCCCAGCAUGUUGACAAUUUCACAGGGACCUCAGCCAUUGGAUAACUGACUUCUGACUUACAACAUGCCUCAUCUCCGUGUCUGCUUACUCCUAAAUAAAAUAGAAAUAU